rnacentral:rRNA from 1 species
AACGAACGCUGGCGGCAUGCCUAACACAUGCAAGUCGAACGAGACCUCCGGGUCUAGUGGCGCACGGGUGCGUAACACGUGGGAAUCUGCCCUUUGCUUCGGAAUAACAGUUAGAAAUGACUGCUAAUACCGGAUGAUGUCGAAAGACCAAAGAUUUAUCGGCAAAGGAUGAGCCCGCGUAGGAUUAGGUAGUUGGUGGGGUAAAGGCCUACCAAGCCGACGAUCCUUAGCUGGUCUGAGAGGAUGAUCAGCCACACUGGGACUGAGACACGGCCCAGACUCCUACGGGAGGCAGCAGUGGGGAAUAUUGGACAAUGGGCGAAAGCCUGAUCCAGCAAUGCCGCGUGAGUGAUGAAGGCCUUAGGGUUGUAAAGCUCUUUUACCAGGGAUGAUAAUGACAGUACCUGGAGAAUAAGCACCGGCUAACUCCGUG